rnacentral:rRNA from 1 species
GACGAACGCUGGCGGCGUGCUUAACACAUGCAAGUCGAACGGAAAGGCCCUGCUUUUGUGGGGUGCUCGAGUGGCGAACGGGUGAGUAACACGUGAGUAACCUGCCCUUGACUUUGGGAUAACUUCAGGAAACUGGGGCUAAUACCGGAUAGGAGCUCCUGCUGCAUGGUGGGGGUUGGAAAGUUUCGGCGGUUGGGGAUGGACUCGCGGCUUAUCAGCUUGUUGGUGGGGUAGUGGCUUACCAAGGCUUUGACGGAUAGCCGGCCUGAGAGGGUGACCGGCCACAUUGGGACUGAGAUACGGACCAGACGCCUACGGGAGGCAGCAGUGGGGAAUAUUGCACAAUGGGCGGAAGCCUGAUGCAGCAACGCCGCGUGCGGGAUGACGGCCUUCGGGUUGUAAACCGUUUUCGCCUGUGACGAAGCGUGAGUGACGGUAAUGGGUAAAGAAGCACCGGCUAACUACGUG